rnacentral:rRNA from 1 species
CCUACGGGAGGCAGCAGUGAGGAAUAUUGGUCAAUGGGCGUAAGCCUGAACCAGCCAAGCCGCGUGAGGGAUGAAGGUUCUAUGGAUCGUAAACCUCUUUUACAAGGGAAUAAAGUGUGGGACGUGUCCUGUUUUGUAUGUACCUUAUGAAUAAGGAUCGGCUAAAUCCGUGCCAGCAGCCGCGGUAAUACGGAGGAUGCGAGCGUUAUCCGGUUUUAUUGGGUUUAAAGGGUGCGUAGGCGGCCUUUUAAGUCAGCGGUGAAAGGCUGUGGCUCAACCAUAGAAUUGCCGUUGAAACUGGGAGGCUUGAGUGUGGUGGAGGCAGGCGGAAUGCGGGGUGUAGCGGUGAAAUGCUUAGAUAUCACGCAGAACC